rnacentral:rRNA from 1 species
GUAGUCAUAUGCUUGUCUCAAAGAUUAAGCCAUGCAUGUCUAAGUGUAAGCAAUUUAUACUGUGAAACUGCGAAUGGCUCAUUAAAUCAGUUAUCGUUUAUUUGAUAGUACCUUACUACAUGGAUACCUGUGGUAAUUCUAGAGCUAAUACAUGCUAAAAACCCCGACUUCGGAAGGGGUGUAUUUAUUAGAUAAAAAACCAACGCCCUUCGGGGCUCCUUGGUGAAUCAUAAUAACUAAACGAAUCGCAUGGCCUUGCGCCGGCGAUGGUUCAUUCAAAUUUCUGCCCUAUCAACUUUCGAUGGUAGGAUAGUGGCCUACCAUGGUGGCAACGGGUAACGGGGAAUUAGGGUUCGAUUCCGGAGAGGGAGCCUGAGAAACGGCUACCACAUCCAAGGAAGGCAGCAGGCGCGCAAAUUACCCAAUCCCGACACGGGGAGGUAGUGACAAUAAAUACUGAUACGGGGCUCUUUCGGGUCUCGUAAUCGGAAUGAGAACGACCUAAAUAACCUAACGAGGAACAAUUGGAGGGCAAGUCUGGUGCCAGCAGCCGCGGUAAUUCCAGCUCCAAUAGCGUAUAUNAAAGUUGUUGCAGUUAAAAAGCUCGUAGUUGAACCUUGGGUCUGGCUGGCCGGUCCGCCUCACCGCGAGUACUGGUCCGGCCGGACCUUUCCUUCUGGGGAACCUCAUGGCCUUCACUGGCUGUGGGGGGAACCAGGACUUUUACUGUGAAAAAAUUAGAGUGUUCAAAGCAGGCCUUUGCUCGAAUACAUUAGCAUGGAAUAAUAGAAUAGGACGUGCGGUUCUAUUUUGUUGGUUUCUAGGACCGCCGUAAUGAUAAAUAGGGAUAGUCGGGGGGCGUCAGUAUUCA